UACGUAGGGUGUGAGCGUUAAUCGGAAUUACUGGGCGUAAAGCGUGCGCAGGCGGUUUUGUAAGCCAGAUGUGAAAUCCCCGGGCUUAACCUGGGAAUGGCAUUUGGGACUGCAAGGCUUGAGUGUGGCAGAGGGGACUGGAAUUCCUGGUGUAGCAGUGAAAUGCGUAGAGAUCGGGAGGAACAUCAGUGGCGAAGGCGGCCUUCUGGACCAGUACUGACGCUGAGGCACGAAAGCGUGGGGAGCAAACAGG
rnacentral:rRNA from 1 species